CGCCGCGUGCAGGAAGAAGGUCUUCGGAUCGUAACUGCUUUCUCUGGAAGAGCAAGGACGGUACCAGAGGAAGAAGCCCCGGCUAACUACGUGC
rnacentral:rRNA from 1 species